AUUGAACGCUGGCGGCAUGCUUUACACAUGCAAGUCGAACGGUAACAGGCCGCAAGGUGCUGACGAGUGGCGAACGGGUGCGUAAUGCAUCGGAACGUGCCCAGUCGUGGGGGAUAACUACUCGAAAGAGUAGCUAAUACCGCAUACGAUCUAUGGAUGAAAGCGGGGGACCGUAAGGCCUCGCGCGAUUGGAGCGGCCGAUGUUAGAUUAGGUAGUUGGUGGGGUAAAGGCUCACCAAGCCAACGAUCUGUAGCUGGUCUGAGAGGACAACCAGCCACACUGGGACUGAGACACGGCCCAGACUCCUACGGGAGGCAGCAGUGGGGAAUUUUGGACAAUGGGCGCAAGCCUGAUCCAGCAAUGCCGCGUGCAGGAAGAAGGCCUUCGGGUUGUAAACUGCUUUUGUAAGGAACGAAACGGCUCUGGUUAAUACCCGGGGCUAAUGACGGUACCGUAAGAAUAAGCACCGGCUAACUACGUG
rnacentral:rRNA from 1 species